AUACGUAGGUGACAAGCGUUAUCCGGAUUUACUGGGCGUAAAGGGCGUGUAGGCGGUCUUGCAAGUCAGAAGUGAAAUUCCUGAGCUCAACUCGGGCGCUGCUUCUGAAACUGCAGGACUUGAGUGCUGGAGGGGAUAGCGGAAUUCCUAGUGGAGCGGUAAAAUGCGCAGAUAUUAGGAAGAACACCGGUGGGUAAGGCGGCUAGCUGGACAGUAACUGGCGCUGAGGCGCGAAAGCGUGGGGAGCAAACAGGAUUAGAUACCCGGGGAGUCCACGCCGUAAACGAUGAAUACUAGGUGUAGGGGGUAUCGACUCCCUCUGUGCCGCAGUUAACACAAUAAGUAUUCCGCCUGGGGAGUACGGCCGCAAGGUUGAAACUCAAAUGAAUUGACGGGG
rnacentral:rRNA from 1 species